GACAAUUUGUGAGCAUAACAGACACAACGAAAGGCAUAGUACUACACAGAGGAGCUUAUGCUGGGGCCGCACAAUGAAGAGAUUCUCCUUCCCAACAGCGACUUUCACGCUACUCAUGUACCUGUUAGAAAUAGUCACCUCUCCUCUCUGCCUUGGCUUCGCAAGUGAAGGAGUGAGGCUGACUCAGGUCCUGCCUGCAUCAGCAGUUUGCUGUUGGGUUCCAUAGGAUCUAAUCCAGACAUGAACACCCGUGAUCUCAGAAACAUCCGAAACCUACAGUCCAGAGUGACCAUGGUGCAUGAUACUCGGGACUAUGUGACUGUCCCUUAGACUGGGGUUUAUCCCAUGCUGACACAGAAGCAGAUGCUGAACGCAACAAGGAGGAUGCUGAGGCAUCUCGGCGACUGCGACGGUGGUGGGAGCGUCCUGCAGU
rnacentral:lncRNA from 1 species